UGCCAGCCGCCGCGGUAAUACGGAGGGCGCAAGCAUUAAUCGGAUUUACUGGGCGUAAAGGGUGCGUAGGCGGGAAGGCAAGUCAGGUGUGAAAUUCCGGUACUCAAUACCGGAGCUGCACUUGAAACUCCCUUCCUUGAGGGUAGGCGGAGAGAACGGAAUUCCAUAUGUAGCGGUGAAAUGCGUAGAUAUAUGGAAGAACACCGGUGGCGAAAGCGGUUCUCUAGCUUAUUUCUGACGCUGAGGCACGAGAGCGUGGGGAGCGAACAGGAUUAGAUA
rnacentral:rRNA from 1 species